CCUAAUGCUUUUAAGCACUGGAUUGUGCUGUGUUUAGUCUUUCCAUUGGCCCCUCAGUUAAAUCAAGACCUAAGUGUGUGCUUGAUUAUUUCUAAAUUAGUUUGUUUAUAUGGUGGAUUCUGUUGAUGGAUCUUUAUAAACCACACUUGCAUCCCUGGGAUGAAGCCUACUUGAUCAUGAACAGACUUGGUGUGUGAAUCCCAACAGGGACAAGGAGAAAGAGUGACAGCUGAUGUCAGGUAAGGGACUGAAUCCUUCCAUUUAGCUUUCUUCUCCUCUUACCUCUAGUAUUAUGUCAGUUUCUGACCUUCCCCAUGAGAAACUGCUCUUACGACUCAGUGUAAAAGGCAGUGUUUGAAAGGAUUGGUCUUUCUUAGCUCUUGUUCUCUUUUGUGGUAGAUAAGGGUGUAACUUCGUAGAGUUGCAUUCUGUGGCUUGCAUCUUGGAACACAUCUGCACCUUCCCUUGGGAAGAAGGUGGACCAGUGCUUCCGUGUGUUAGGAUCAAUAAAAUAAUAGCAACCACUGCCAGUUAGUGACCCACUCACUCAACUAUUUCCCUGCACUCCACAAACACUGUGAGGUAACUGCUAUAACGACUCCCAUUGCACCAAAGAAUAGAUUGUGGCACAUGAUGUAUUAAUAACUCUUUCCAAGAACAUGUUGUCUGAAAGGGAUGAGGCUAGGGUUUUAGCCUUCUCAUUCCAAAGGCUGACCUUCCUAAGUACAUUGAUGUGGAAAAGUACAGCUUAUUUUUAUUAGAAUAUGUCUGUUUUUCCCCCAAUCAACAAA
rnacentral:lncRNA from 1 species